UACAGAGGUCUCAAGCGUUGUUCGGAUUCAUUGGGCGUAAAGGGUGCGUAGGCGGCGCGGUAAGUCGGGUGUGAAAUCUUGGAGCUUAACUCCGAAACUGCAUUCGAUACUGCCGUGCUUGAGGACUGGAGAGGAGACUGGAAUUUACGGUGUAGCGGUGAAAUGCGUAGAUAUCGUAAGGAAGACCAGUGGCGAAGGCGGGGUCCCUG
rnacentral:rRNA from 1 species